rnacentral:rRNA from 1 species
UACGGGGGGGGCCAGCGUUGUUCGGAAUCAUUGGGCGUAAAGGGCGCGUAGGCGGCUUUGUAAGUCCGUUGUGAAAUCCCUCGGCUCAACCGAGGAACUGCGACGGAUACUGCUUGGCUUGAGUCCCGGAGAGGGUAGCGGAAUUCCCAGUGUAGCGGUGAAAUGCGUAGAUAUUGGGAGGAACAUCGGUGGCGAAGGCGGCUACCUGGACGGGUACUGACGCUGAGGCGCGAAAGCUAGGGGAGCAAACAGG